rnacentral:rRNA from 1 species
UGCGUAGGCGGACUUGUAGGUCAGGUGUGAAAUCCCACGGCUCAACCGUGGAAUUGCGCUUGAAACCACUCGUCUUGAGGGGAUCAGAGGAGAGCGGAACUGAUGGUGGAGCGGUGAAAUGCGUUGAUAUUAUCAGGAACACCGGUGGCGAAAGCGGCUCUCUGGGAUCCUUCUGACGCUGAGGCACGAAAGCUAGGGGAGCGAACAGGAUUAGAUACCCUGGUAGUCC